rnacentral:rRNA from 1 species
GUGAGGAAUAUUGGUCAAUGGGCGAGAGCCUGAACCAGCCAAGUAGCGUGAAGGAUGACUGCCCUAUGGGUUGUAAACUUCUUUUAUAAAGGAAUAAAGUCGGGUAUGCAUACCCGUUUGCAUGUACUUUAUGAAUAAGGAUCGGCUAACUCCGUGCCAGCAGCCGCGGUAAUACGGAGGAUCCGAGCGUUAUCCGGAUUUAUUGGGUUUAAAGGGAGCGUAGAUGGAUGUUUAAGUCAGUUGUGAAAGUUUGCGGCUCAACCGUAAAAUUGCAGUUGAUACUGGAUAUCUUGAGUGCAGUUGAGGCAGGCGGAAUUCGUGGUGUAGCGGUGAAAUGCUUAGAUAUCACGAAGAACUCCGAUUGCGAAGGCAGCCUGCUAAGCUGCAACUGACAUUGAGGCUCGAAAGUGUGGGUAUCAAACAGGAUUAGAUACCCUGGUAGUCC